rnacentral:rRNA from 1 species
AUGCAGGAAGCUCCGCUCCACCCGGCCCACCCCGUGCCCUUCGGGCCCAGGCUGCCGGGCUUCCGCGAUCGCCGCCUCUGCGCCCCCACCGGCGACGGGGUCUUCUCCUACGGCGGCUGCGCCCCCUUCGUCCCGAGCCCCAGGCCGUCCCCGCUCGGGCGCGGCAGCCCCACCUUCACCCCGAGCCCCAGGUCCUCGUCGCCCGGCACCCCCUGGUCCUCCUCCGCCUCCUCCUCCUCCGGCUCCCGCGUCGACGCGGCGGCCACGGAGCACGGCCUGCGCAUGGCCCGCCUCGCGCUGCAGUACCAGGACUUCGCCAACCGCUACCAGCUCUGCCUCUCCCACCUCGCCGACGCCGCGCGCGAGGCCGCCGCCAUCCGCCACGACAACUCCGGCCUCCGCCUCGCCAACGACGUCCUCGCCGGCCGCUUCGCCAUGCUCGCCGGCAACCAGGCCUCCGCCAUCGCGCUGCCCGACCAGCUCCGCCGCCUCCACCUUGGGCAGAUGCCUGCUCCCCCGGUGGUGCCCAUGCCCAUGCCGCGCCUCGCCUCCCCGACCGAGAAGCCCCGCCCCCUCCACCUCGGGCAGAUGCAGGCGCAGGUCGUGCCGGCUCCCCCGAUGAUGCCCAUGACGCGGCCCGCCUCCCCGGCCGAGAAGCACGCGGCGAUGCCCAAGAGCAUCUCCAUCCGCUCCAACGGCUACCUGAAGAUGGCGAGGAACGGCAAGCAUCGCGUGACGGCGCCGGUGAACGUCGGCUCGCAGCGCGUGUUCGUGGGCGUGGACAGCGCCAAGGCGGAGGAGCACCAGGGAGGCGGCGGGGAGAAGGGCGGUCAGGUCGCCACGGCUGCCGGCGGGCUGCAGUUCGAGGUGUACAGCCAGGGCAUGUUCAAGACGGAGCUGUGCAACAAGUGGGAGGAGACCGGGGCGUGCCCGUACGGCGACCAGUGCCAGUUCGCGCACGGCAUCGCCGAGCUCCGUCCCAUCAUCCGCCACCCGCGCUACAAGACCCAGGUCUGCCGCAUGGUCUUCGGCGGCGCCCUCUGCCCCUACGGCCACCGCUGCCACUUCCGCCACUCGAUCACCCCCGCCGACUACUCCCCCCUCCUCCACCCCUGA